rnacentral:rRNA from 1 species
GACGAACGCUGGCGGCGUGCUUAACACAUGCAAGUCGAACGAUGAACUUGGAGCUUGCUCUGGGGGAUUAGUGGCGAACGGGUGAGUAACACGUGAGUAACCUGCCCUGGACUCUGGGAUAACUUCGAGAAAUCGGAGCUAAUACCGGAUAUGACCACUUCUCGCAUGGGCUGUGGUGGAAAGUUUUUCGGCCAGGGAUGUGCUCGCGGCCUAUCAGCUUGAUGGUGAGGUAAUGGCUCACCAUGGCUUCGACGGGUAGCCGGCCUGAGAGGGUGACCGGUCACACUGGGACUGAGACACGGCCCAGACUCCUACGGGAGGCAGCAGUGGGGAAUCUUGCGCAAUGGGCGAAAGCCUGACGCAGCGACGCCGCGUGAGGGAAGAAGGCCUUCGGGUUGUAAACCUCUUUCAGGAGGGACGAAGCCACUCGGGUUAAUAGCCCAGAGGGUGACGGUACCUCCAGAAGAAGCCCCGGCUAACUACGUGCCAG